rnacentral:rRNA from 1 species
AGUGAACGCUGGCGGUAGGCCUAACACAUGCAAGUCGAACGGCAGCACAGGAGAGCUUGCUCUCUGGGUGGCGAGUGGCGGACGGGUGAGGAAUACAUCGGAAUCUACUCUGUCGUGGGGGAUAACGUAGGGAAACUUACGCUAAUACCGCAUACGACCUACGGGUGAAAGCAGGGGACCUUCGGGCCUUGCGCGAUUGAAUGAGCCGAUGUCGGAUUAGCUAGUUGGCGGGGUAAAGGCCCACCAAGGCGACGAUCCGUAGCUGGUCUGAGAGGAUGAUCAGCCAUACUGGAACUGUGACACGGACCAGACUCCUACGGGAGGCAGCAGUGGGGAAUAUUGGACAAUGGGCGCAAGCCUGAUCCAGCCAUACCGCGUGGGUGAAGAAGGCCUUCGGGCUGUAAAGCCCUUUUGUUGGGAAAGAAAUCCAGCUGGCUAAUACCCGGUUGGGAUGACGGUACCCAAAGAAUAAGCACCGGCUAACUUCGUGCCAGCCGCCGCAGUAA